UGUAGAGUUUGAUCCUGGCUCAGAUUGAACGCUGGCGGCAUGCCUUACACAUGCAAGUCGAACGGUAACAGGUUAAGCUGACGAGUGGCGAACGGGUGAGUAAUGUAUCGGAACGUGCCCAGUCGUGGGGGAUAACUGCUCGAAAGAGCAGCUAAUACCGCAUACGACCUGAGGGUGAAAGCGGGGGAUCGCAAGACCUCGCGCGAUUGGAGCGGCCGAUAUCAGAUUAGGUAGUUGGUGAGGUAAAGGCUCACC
rnacentral:rRNA from 1 species